rnacentral:lncRNA from 1 species
CUGUGCAAGUGCUCAACCUCUAUGGGUAUUCACUCAAGAUCAGUCUAGAAUAAUUCUCUUUGGUGUUGAUAUUUCUUCUCUGAGAAUGAUCAUCCUACGAAUCUGAAUAAAGCCUGGAUCGCAAUCAACUCUUUGAUCCAUUCCUUAAUUUUUUUCUUCUUUUCUUCUCUUACUCUUCUUCCCUUAAUUAUGAAGAAAUCAAAGUCUGAAAAUCAGCAAGCAAAGAAAAUGCCUAAACUCCUUUUGGGCAUGGA